GUCGCCCGGGCCGACGGCUUCGUCGACGCCCUUCCCCAGGGCGGCGCGACCCAAGUCGGCGAGCAGGGCCUGAGCCUGUCCGGCGGGCAGCG
rnacentral:tRNA from 1 species